rnacentral:rRNA from 1 species
GAUGAACGCUGGCGGCGUGCUUAACACAUGCAAGUCGAACGGAAGGGCUCCUGCUUGCAGGGGUACUCGAGUGGCGAACGGGUGAGUAACACGUGGGUGAUCUGCCCUGCACUUCGGGAUAAGCCUGGGAAACUGGGUCUAAUACCGGAUAGGACCACAUUUUGGAUGGUGUGGUGGAAAGUUUUUCGGUGUGGGAUGAGCUCGCGGCCUAUCAGCUUGUUGGUGGGGUAAUGGCCUACCAAGGCGUCGACGGGUAGCCGGCCUGAGAGGGUGUACGGCCACAUUGGGACUGAGAUACGGCCCAGACUCCUACGGGAGGCAGCAGUGGGGAAUAUUGCACAAUGGGCGCAAGCCUGAUGCAGCGACGCCGCGUGGGGGAUGACGGCCUUCGGGUUGUAAACUCCUUUCGCUAGGGACGAAGCGUUUUUGUGACGGUACCUGGAGAAGAAGCACCGGCUAACUACGUG